GUCACAGAGCAACAGCCCAGCCACGGACCUUGUACUCUUAGCUGAACCUUGCAAAGGCAACGGUGGAGCAACAUCUGGACCACUGCAGAAACCCACAGCCGAACCUCCAGAACCCAGCUGUGCGUCUAUGAAGAGUAACAACUCAAUGAUUCAACCUUUCACCUUCAGUAAUAAAGGAGAACCUCCAGAACCCAGCUAUGUGUCUAUGAAGAGUAACAACUCAAUUAUUCAACCGCUUCCCUUCAGUAAUAAAGGAGAACCUCCAGCAUCCAGGGGUAGGAGUGGUCUGGUCCAGGAUCAGUCCAGGUGUGGAGUGUGUGAGCAGCUUCUGACAGAUCCAGUCUCGAUCACCUGUGGACACUGUGUUUCUGCAGACGGUGUAUCAGCAGCUUCUGGAACAGAACUGCUCUGUCAGGAGACUUUAUCUGUCCCUGUUUCAGAAAGAGAUUUAGAACACGUCCUUCUCUACAUCAACACAUAGAGGAGUCUAUAAAUCAGGAACUAGUGGAUGAUGUUCUGCAGAGAGUCUAACAGAAACACAAAACCAGCAUGAAGAACAGAUACGAGAACUUAUAUGAAGUAAUCAAAACACCAGAGAAUAGAACCCUCCUGAACAGGAUUUACACUCAGCUCUACAUCAUAGGGAGAGAGUGAAGGAGUGAAUGAAGAACAUGAGGUUCUACUACCGAACUGUUCUUUUAAUAAUUUUAUUUUCUAAUUUUUCCCAUUUUCUCCCCAAUUUACACGGCCAAUUACCCAACCCAUUCAUUAGGACUCCCCCUAUUACUAGUGAUACCUCAACACACCAGGAGGGUGAAGACUAACACAUGCUUCCUCCGAUACAUGUGAAGUCAGCCACCGCUUCUUUUCGAGCUGCUGCCGAUGCAGCAUUGCCGAGCAGCCAGCGCGCUUGGAGGAAAGCACAGCGGCUCGACUCUGGUACAUCAGCUCACAGACGCCCUGUGCUGCAGACAUCCCCAUAGGAGUGAUGUGGGGAAAGAGCGCCAUCUACCCACCCAGAGGGAGCAGGGCCAAUUUUGCUCCCUCUAACGCCGGCAGCUUGAUGGCAAAGCUGCAUGAGCGGGGGUUCGAACCGGCGACCUCCUGCUCAUAGUGGCAUAGACCACUGGACCACUCGGCGCCCGAUCCGAACUGUUCUGACUAAAGGAAUUGCUGGAAUUGGGAAAACUGUCUCUGUGCAGAAGUUCAUUCUGGACUGGGCUGAAGGAAAAUCCAAUCAGGAUGUAGAUUUUAUGUUUGUGUUCCCACUCCGAGAGCUGAACCUGAUUAAAGAAGAUCAGUACAGUCUUCAUACACUUCUGUGUGCCUUUCACCCUGAUCUCAAAGAUCUGGAGUCUAAGAUCUAUGAUACAUGCAGAGUUGUGUUCAUCUUUGAUGGACUGGAUGAAAGCAGAAUUCCACUGAACUUUGAGGAGUGUGAGAAAGUGUCUGACAUAACCAUGACAUCAUCAGUUGAUGUGUUGAUUACAAACCUUCUUAAAGGAGAGCUGCUGCCUUCUGCUCACAUCUGGAUACCUCCCAACCAGCAGCAGCCAAUCGUAUUCCUUCUUGGUACAUCAGCCGUGUGACAGAAAUUCAGGGGUUUAAUGAUCCACAGAAGGAGGAGUACUUCAGGAAGAAGAUUAGUGACCAAGACCAAGCCCAGAAAAUCAUCUCCCACAUUAAGACAGCGAGGAGCCUCCACAUCAUGUGCCACAUUACCAUCUUCUGCUGGAUCUCAGCCACUAUGCUUCAGCAAAUCCUGACACAGAGUGAUACAGAAAUCCCUAAAACUCUGACUGAAAUGUACUGCCACUUCCUAAACACAGACCAGCAUAAGAAUGAGAAGUAUGGAGAAAUCUGUGAUAGGGAUCCAGAGGAACUGCUGGAAUCCAACAGAACUGUGCUUCUGAAACUGGCUAAACUGGCUUUUAAUCAGUUGAUGAAGGGGAAUGUGAUGUUCAAGGAAGAGGACCUGAGAGAGAGCGGUAUUGAUCUCACAGACGCCUCAGUGUAUUCUGGGAUCUGCUCUGAGAUCUGUAUGUGUUUACUAUUUAUGUAUCCCUUUCUAAUGAAUUCUACAUUCAUGGACUUCCAAGUUGCAACCAUUGCUGCUGCUGAUGUGCAAAUGUACACAUAGUGUAUGUAGUCUCAGUAGAGAAGCGCUGGCAAUAGAUUAGGACUCUUAAGAAACAGAUAUGCUGGAACCUACUGGCACCAUGUCUAAUGCCAAGCCUGGGAUAGAGUAAUAUAACACUGGGAUGACUAAAAUGUCAGGAGCUUGUGAAAAUCACCCUAUUAGAGUAAUUAGUUAUUAUUAUGUAUUUUACCUAAAUAUGCAUAACUAUUAACGUUAAACUGCAAACCGAAUUCUAAAAAAGUUGUCACUGUGCAGAUGUAAAUAAUAUAACUACAUUAGAAUGCAGAGAUUUGCAAAUCUCAUAUCAGAUGUUAAACAAAAACAUUUUUUAAUGAAAAAAAUUAUUCAUUUAGAUCCUGAAACAGUUUUGAUAAAUGAUGUGGAAAAGCAAAAUUCUGAGUUUAUUUUAGUUAUUUAGUUUAUUAUUUCAGAUGUUUAGGCUUAAGGAUGCUCACAAUUCCUUUGGCUGUAGCAACAGCACGAGAACAAGAGAAAGCACAUUUACAUAAAAUCUUAAAUUAAAGCUUCAUCAAUCCCAGUGACAGUGCAGAGAAUCUACUGCUCUGGCUUUACUGAUAAUGCCGUAAUUAUGAGAAAGUAUCUUUUUAUUAUGUCGUUCAAACGACAUACUAUGUCUUAAUUAUAAAAACAUCUCGUAAUUAUGAGAAGUUCUUUGUGUCUACCACCGCACUACAGCAUUUCUCAGACUUAAUGCCGCACUUAAUUGAAUUAAUAAAAUUCUAUUUUACACUUGGCUUAAUUCACAAGGAAAUCUAAGUGUCACUGAGCGGCAUUGAUGGCAUUUUCAUAAGCAUUUAAACACUGCAAAUGAUUCUGAAUCUCAGCGUUUAAACAGCCUUAAAAAAUAAACCAGACCUCUCUGUAAAAAUCCUAAAGUCAGGCAGACUCAUACGCCGCUGAUUCAUAAGCUCACACUGCACUGACACGCUGCGAUAUAGGAGUUCACACUGCAGGACAAACACAGCCCGUAGCCAGAGCUCUUUCUGUGUAUAUGCGCUCGGUUCAGCAGAAACAGGGCAGUUUUCUUAAGUCCUGAAACAAAAUGACAGAUUAUGAACUGUAACAUUAAAGCAUGAGUAAGCAGCAGUAGAGCUUAGAUCCAGCCCAAAAAAUCCAGCCAGACCUGGCCCGACUGGACGAGCUCCAUAAACUGUUUUUGUGAGCCCCAGCCCAGUUUGAACAAUUUUUUUUUUUUAGUGUGGAACAUUAAACCUGAGCUUUUUAAAAACAUUUUGUUUGAAUGAGCGAAAUCUGUUCAGAAGAUGUUAAUUAACAUUGCAACACUAGAACCUGCUAUAGACCUGUUGUUUAAUAAAAAUUAGUGGUGUCAGUCAAUUAAAAAAUGUAAUCUGAUUUAUCACAACAAAAUUCUGUGAUUAACUGCAUUUGUUUUCCUUCAGACAUAAAUUAUUAUAGUGGAUAUUUAAAUGUAAAUAAAUGAAUGAAUGUAAGAAAUGUAUAUUAGUGUUGUCAAUUAAAAUAAUGGUAUACACUUGUAUGUUUGAGAGGAGAUAAAAUCAACAUAAGGUGCUGGAAUAAAGAAUGCAUGAUAAAUUGGACUGUAA